CGGGGCCUUCUCUCCCCGGGGGCUCUGGUGCCAGCUGCCUGCCCCUCUGUUUACUGUUCUGGGAGGUGGCCAGGCCAUAAAAAGUGUGCACAGCCUGCCUGACAUCGCCCUUUGCUCCCAUGAUAACAGUGCACAAGGUGGAUCCUGGCCUGGCACAGGCCCCUGAAGUGCAGCAGGCACUUCUCUCUCUCCUCCUACCAGUGGCCUGGGAGACAGCGGGCAUUCAUUAGUAAUGGUGGACACCUGAGGCUUGGGAAAGAACCAGGGUUCCAAGAGUAGAGGGGGAGGGGCUGGUGAAAAGGCGGCUGGCCCGGACUGAAUAGAGUUUUCUGAUCUUCAAAAAAAUAUGCUCUGUGACCCUAGGGUAACUGCUUCCCCUCUUUGGGCCCGCAUUGCCCCAUCUGUAAACUUGGGGAAGUUGUCUACCAGAAAGAAAUAACUCUGGUCAAGUAAGUUUGGGAAAUCCUGCUGAAGCCACUUCUCUGAUAGAGUCACAGUGGGCCAUUAGCACAUCAAAGUCUCUGACAAGCCCCACAGCAAAGAAACCCCUUGAAUUUUCUUUCAUCUGGCCUUCCCCGUGCUUUGCUACCUAGGAGGCCCCUACUCACACCUCCGAGCAUCCCACUGAACUCCACACACUCUGCAGUGCUGGGAUGUUCAGGCUGGAGGGCCUCACCUUCUCUGUGUCUCAGUAUUUAGCAGCAGGUUUUGUCGUCAAAUGGCCUGGAUUUCAGCGUGACUACUUCCAAACUGCAAGACUUCAGGGCCCAGCACAUAAGAAGUGCCUGUUUUUGAGCCACCUGCUCACGGGGCUGCUGCUGCAUCCCAGUGUGAGAGGCUGGCAGGCGUGGCUGAUGUUCUACCCACCUGAAGGAGGACAAGCCUGUCUCCGCAUUAGGAAGACCUCUGCCCGGCAGGAGGUCAGUGGCCACUCCUCUGAUAGAGUCACAGCGGCGCAUUACCACAUCAAAGGGUGAGCUGCAGCAGUUGCCCACAUGGGAGGUCAGGAGGUUGGAUGCGACCCACAGGUUGGGUUGGUGCUCACCUACCAAUGGGUGUUUAGCCCCAUGAAAAAGGAAACUCAUCUAAGACAACUUCCAAGCAGUGCAACUUCCUGCCUUGUGCCUGGUGAGUUCCCUGUCACCCAGAGUUCCACCAGAGAUUGGGGUGUUGUAAUGGCUUAGGAAAGAGACCCUUCAAGUCUAGUCAAAUCUUAC
rnacentral:lncRNA from 1 species